CGACACGGGAACGUGGCAGCGGCCCUUGAGAGGUGGCGCUCCGAGGACCGGUCACUGGAUUGCUGUCCUAGCUCGUCAUGCGGGCGCACGCGGGAGUCUGGGAGCGUCUGGACCGCUGUCAUGGGGAGGAGCUUCUUCAAAGGCGGGGGCCCAGCAGGUUUCCUUGGAGAGCGCCCGCACCUCGGACCCUUUGACCUAAAGGUCUGUAGAAGAACCAUUCAGAGCCGCUGCCACUGCAGCAGCUGCUGUCUGCUGACUCCCCCACCCCACCCCCCGGAACUGGAGAACCAGAACUCGACUUUCUGCUGAUCUGUGCGCCGCAGUCACACUCCUCUGCGUGGUCCUUUGUCAUUGCCUCGGAGUGAGUAGGGAGCAUCUUUGCCCAAGUUGGGCGCGGACUCUAGGAGGUUUAGCUUCAAGAAGCUAUCUCCAAAAUCUCCUUGUCACUCUUUGCAGUGGUCCUGGCGGCAGGAGCUGAGGUGACAGCUUUCACAUACAAAGAGGUAGUGACUACAGUGCCUAGCUUGCUAGCCCUGCAGUGCACAGUCAAGACUGCUUGGGUGUUUCUGGCACCCUUGCUGUUUCUGGCCCAGGUGCAGGAGCGCACUACAUUCCUGAGCCAAGGUGAGCUAGCUGCUAGGGCCUGGAAGGUCAUGUAGGACCCCAUCAGAAUUCAGGUGGCCAGUAACUCUGUACCCCAGGACCUUUGUGGUCCUUACUACCGAGUGUCUUUGGGCUGUAGACUCUUCCUUUUAUGAAGACAGCAUUACCCCCUAGGGCUAUGGGGCAGAAGCUAUACCCUGACCUGCUGCCUGAACUUAACCCCAACUGGGCCUCCCACAAAGAUUGUAAGCCUGCCAAGAAUUACAGGACCCAGGCCAAGUGAGCCUGGCUCUGCUGUGGGCUUGUCUUUGGAAGGGAGGCUGAAUAAACUGGAGACUGGAAGCCCUUGGAGCACAAUAAAUGAUUGCUGAACUUGGCCUGA